rnacentral:rRNA from 1 species
CGUAUAUUUAAGUUGUUGCAGUUAAAAAGCUCGUAGUUGGAUUUCGGGUGGGUCGACGCGGUCUGCCUCUGGUAUGUACUGCGCUCGGUUCACCUUUCUGCUGGGGACGGGCUCCUGGGCUUAACUGCUUGGGACCUGGAAUCAGCGAAGUGACCUUGAGCAAACAAGAGUGUUCAAAGCAAGCCGACGCUCUGAAUUUUUUAGCAUGGAAUCACACGAUAGGACUCUGGCCUAUCUUGUUGGUCUGUAGGACCGGAGUAAUGAUUAAGAGGGACAGUCGGGGG